GGCCCGUCUCCAAAUACCAUCACACUGGGGGUUAGGGCUUUGACGUGAAUCCAAUACGAAUUUUGGACACAACUCAGUCCACAGCAGUGAAAUUGAUUGAAACAAGUUUGAGGUCCUGAUGCCAUGCUCCAUUUCUCAUCCUUCCUUCUCUCCCACAUUUCCCGUCUGUUUUUUGUUCUUCUGUGUGUGGUGUUAGGUCCCGAGGCAUAGAUACUGUCUGGUACCUUGUUAACUAAGGUAAAACACUGAGGCUGUUGCUGUAUGACUUCUCAUCUUUCCUCAUUAUGAAAGCGAUGUUGGCUAUCUCUUUGAAACGUCUCAGUGUUUCUAUAGCAUGGCCCGCCAGAGUUCAGUGCCAUAAGCCAGGCCAAGUACUCUGGUGAGCAAAAAAGAGCAACCUUAAGUCCUCCAGCCCAUAUGGGAACAACCUAGACACGAAGUGUUGCCAAUGGCCACGUAGUAGGUAUGUAAGUAUCUGUGGGCCACGUAGUCUCUUGUAACUACUCAACUCUGCCAUCACACCUUGAAAGCAGCUGUAAACCAUAUGGAAAUGAAUGGAGCAUGGCUCUUUUCCCCUGAAAAUUAUUUACGAAAGAUGGGUAGUAGGCCAAUCUGGCCCAUGGAUCAUAGUCUGCUGACCCCUGAAUUACACCCUGUCCCUCAGUUUCUUGCUCACUCUUUGCUCCCUCCUCUGCUCCAGCGUUGGCCUGUCAAAUAUCUUUUUGAUUACCUUCAUUUCCUUUGUCCUUACAACCAGAUUCUUUGUCUCUGUUUUUUGAAACUUUCUGCUACUGGUUAGUUCCAGUAGUCCCCCUAUUUGAGGAAUGACCCCGAAAGCCUUAAUCUGGUGUGGGGUUUGUGAGCUGGCCACUUGUCUGUGGGAGGCAAAGGCCAAUCAGAACGAGAUGAUGACUGAAUGUUUUUCUCUCUGUUUCAGACUACUUCAGGAAUUUGGAUGCCCUUUACAGUGCAUUACAUCCCCGGGGAGAAUCUGGAGCCCAUAGAUCAAUGGCCAUCAGUCUAAUCCUGGUUGCCAGGCACCUGUAGCUAUGGUCUCCUCUAAAUUCAAGAACUCUGUGUGGGCUCCAGGUCAAGGACCGCGGUUCCGGACACUCUAGAUGUGGACCAGCAGAAUCAGCAUCACCUGGAAGCUUGUCGAAAGAGAAUGUCACCCCCACCCCAGACCCACGCAUCACAGUCUGUUCUUCAACAAGAUCUCCGGGUAAUCUGUGUGCACGUCAUGAUUUGAGAGGCAAGGCAAAACAAAAACUUGACCAAGCCUGCUUGGGUCAGACCAGCUAAGAGCUGAGUAGUUGAUCAGUAUCAAAAAGCAUACCUGAAGACCUGGCAGAAUUUCCAGGAAGUGGCAUUUCUCUGCUUUUCCACAGUUCACGUCCCAACCAUAUGGACACUUCCACUCUGAAAUUUGGUUGAUUAUCUUGCCUGUGUGACACAGAAACCAAUUCCCAGCUGCCCUCUGAGAAUUACCAAAACCUUUCACAGAGGACAAAGAAUCCCUUUAAGGUAAUGGAGGGUUGUCGCAUCAUUGUCAUCUGCAGCCAUUGUUUUCUCUGUGUCAUACGCUGAAGAUGUAGCUGAUGAAGAUUUGGUUCAGUUUCCUGAGGGAAAAAUGAAUAUCCGAGGGCAGUAAAGGGACACAUUUCAGAUUUCGAAUUCCAACCUACAACUGCAAAGGAACAAUAUCGAUGCUCGUCGGGGGCUUGUUCUGACUCACCCAUUUUUUUUUCAGAAGAGAGCUCCAGACUGUAGCAGUGGCUUGGUUACCGAGUAAAUUGUCUUGAAAUAAGCUUUCAGUGGUGAGUUAGAGUCUGGCCGGAUUCUUUG